AUCGCUUGGCCUUUUGGUUAAGAUCAAAUGUAGUACCUGUUCUUAUCAGUUUAAUCUCUGAUACAUCCACUAGCUGAGGACAAUAUAUUAAAUGGAUUUUUGGAGCGUGGAGUUGGAAUAGGAGCUUGCUCCAUCCGGACAAAUACUGGGUCCUCACAUGGACCCGGUAUUUCAGUUCCUCUGGGAGCUGUGCACCCUCU